UUUGAGAUGAAAAUAACAUGAAAUAAGUAGAUUGGAUACAAUUCGUAUGGUCAUUAGCUAACACAAUUGGCCUGUAGCUCGUACAGUUAGCUUUGACUUUAAGCCUUAGUCAUCCAGCAGACGAAUUUUGAUGCUCAGCGUGAGUGAAAAAAAUAUCACAAUAACUUACAGUUUUCUUUGAUGCUUACCAAUUCUAUAAAGCUAAAGUCUGGUAGAUAAGACUGCGGCACAGUUGUAGAGUCACUGGAGUUGCACAGAGCGAGAGAGUGCGAACUGAACGUGGCAAAUGUCCGUAGACGAUUGAACGCUGCUUGCAACGGCCAUCGCAACUCAACACCUGGCCAACAGUGGCUAGCGCCGAGCACAGCCUGUUGACAGACACUCAAAGCGGGAGAAGCAGGUCAAAAUUUGCCACAAGUUCACCAGGUGCAAAAGAGCAGGAUAACUACCUGAAGUCACGACCAAACGAGAUUGGCAGAAAAUCAAGGUUUUUGCAAUUUGAAUGAAGUCGAAGUGAACGAAGUUUUGGUUAAGAAACUAAAAAUCAAAUUUAGAUGCAGAAUUAUAGAGUUAAAACUAGAUAACUAUUUGGAAUAACUAGAAAUGAAUUUGAUUCCGAUUUUAUAAAUUUUUUAAGUAAAUGCUGUCACUUUAUAGUUUAUAAAUAUUUUUAGAUCAUAAGCAGAAUGUUUCUAGAGGUCAAGCAAUAUUUCAACAAAGUCUUAUCCAAUUUUAAAUUGUUCACUACUUAACCUCUUAUUUUCUUUCAGUGUAAAUCAAAGUAAAAGCGUAGAUAAUACUUGAA